rnacentral:rRNA from 1 species
GACAGAGGCCUCAAGCGUUAGGCGGAAUCACUGGGCUUAAAGCGUGUGUAGGCGGAUCGUUAAGUGUCUUGUGAAAUCCCACGGCUCACCCGUGGGAACUGGCUGGGCAUACUGGCGACCUUGGGCCAACUAGGGGCAACUGGAACAAGCGGUGGAGCGGUGAAAUGCGUAGAUAUCGCUUGGAACGCCAAAGGUGAAAACAGGUUGCUGGGGUUGUGC